rnacentral:rRNA from 1 species
AUGCAAGUCGAACGCGAAAGUUCCCUUCGGGGAGCGAGUAGAGUGGCGUCCGGGUGAGUAACACGUAGGUAAUCUACCUUUGGGUGGGGAAUAACAACCGGAAACGGUUGCUAAUACCGCAUAAUGCAGCGGCACCGCAUGGUGACAGUUGUUAAAGCGGGGGAUCGCAAGACCUCGCGCCUAAAGAGGAGCCUGUGGCGGAUUAGCUAGUUGGCAGGGUAACGGCCUACCAAGGCAACGAUCCGUAGCCGGCCUGAGAGGGCGGUCGGCCACACUGACACUGAAAUACGGGUCAGACUCCUACGGGAGGCAGCAGUCGGGAAUUUUGGGCAAUGGGCGCAAGCCUGACCCAGCAACGCCGCGUGAAGGAUGAAAUCCCUCGGGAUGUAAACUUCGCAAGAAUGGGAAGAAUAAGUAGGGGAUAAUACCCUCUAUGAUGACGGUACCAUUUGUAAGCUCCGGCUAACUCCGUGCCAGCAGCCGCGGUAAUACGGGGGGAGCAAGCGUUGUUCGGAUUUACUGGGCGUAAAGGGCGCGUAGGCGGCCAGUGCAAGUCAGUUGUGAAAUCUCCGAGCUUAACUCGGAAAGGUCAACUGAUACUGCUCGGCUAGAGUGCGGAAGGGGCAACUGGAAUUCUUGGUGUAGCGGUGAAAUGCGUAGAUAUCAAGAGGAACACCUGCGGCGAAGGCGGGUUGCUGGGCCGACACUGACGCUGAAGUGCGAAAGCCAGGGGAGCGAACGGGAUUAGAUACCCUGGUAGUCCUGGCCUUAAACGAUGAAUGCUUGGUGUCUGGGGUUAUAAAGUCCCCGGGUGCCGUCGCUAA